AAAAAUGGAGCUUUACAGAUGCUGCUGGAAAAGAUGCAGCAUUUGAGAAAUGGAUUUAGAGAUUUCAGACAGUGCAUGAACUAUUGGAAAUCGAUGUAAUACUGGAUGACAAGUGGUGAUGCACCAGGUUUUGAGAUCACCACAGCAACAAAAUAAGAAAUGGUUUGUACAACAAUCAACAACCGAUGUGAACUAUUCCAGCUUCUCUUACACUCUUGGAUUGAUGGAGAUAGAGAAAAAAGAAGAGGCUUUGAUGAAUGGAAAGAGAAAUAAUAUAGGCAUUUAUACGGAAAGAUUCAGCUAUAACCUACCAUCGAGGAAAGACCCCAUUCUCCAAGCUUGUUGUCUGACUACGCCGCCAGCGCCGCUGGUAACUGCUCGCACAGCUUCGGUUUAAUGAAGAGCCAGGUGAGGGAAAUGGAGUGAUAAGCAGGCUGCUGAGAGAUGCUGAAAUAAGUUUGUUUUUAAAAGAGAGAGGAAAAACAUUAUUUUAAGAAACGUUUUGUGAAAAGGAACAAUACUUUGGCUGUUGCAUCACACUCUGAGCACUGUCGCCCAGUAGACUUAGCACUAGGCUUCUUCCUAAGUUCAAUUUCAUGCCAGUUUAUAAACAGAAAUGUCUGAGAAGUUAAGACCAUGCAAGCAGCCAUUUUUGCUUUUAUUUUUUCUUCAGAACCUCACCAAGCUGAAAUUGUUUUGUAAAUGCCAAAGCCCAAACAUAAAGUGUAUUAAAGUUGUUUGUCUAC